AAGACUAUACUUUCAGGGGUCAUUUCUGUAGU
rnacentral:snRNA from 1 species